rnacentral:rRNA from 1 species
UAGGGAAUCUUCGGCAAUGGGGGGAACCCUGACCGAGCAACGCCGCGUGAGUGAAGAAGGUUUUCGGAUCGUAAAGCUCUGUUGUUAAGGAAGAACGAGUGUGAGAAUGGAAAGUUCAUACUGUGACGGUACUUAACCAGAAAGGGACGGCUAACUACGUGCCAGCAGCCGCGGUAAUACGUAGGUCCCGAGCGUUGUCCGGAUUUAUUGGGCGUAAAGCGAGCGCAGGCGGUUAGAUAAGUCUGAAGUUAAAGGCAGUGGCUCAACCAUUGUAAGCUUUGGGAAAUGGUUAAAUUGAGGGGAGAAGGGGAGAGUGGAAUUUCAAGGGGAGGGGUGAAAUGCGUAGAUAUAUGGAGGAACACCGGUGGCGAAAGCGGCUCUCUGGUCUGUAACUGACGCUGAGGCUCGAAAGCGUGGGGAGCGAACAGG